GGAAUAAGCACAUUAGACGAGAAGACCCUGUGGAGCUUCAAACCAACUAUUAAAAAGCACACUACGGCACCUAAUACGCGGUUUUAAGUUGGGGCGACUUCGGAAAAAAAUAAAACUUCCAAGCACAGAACCAAAAAUUCUAACAAUGGCCAACAAGCCAAAGUUUAAACAACAACAGACCCAGUACCACUGAGCAACGAACCAAGUUACCCCAGGGAUAACAGCGCUAUCUUCUUCAAGAGUCCAUAUCGACAAGAAGGUUUACGACCUCGAUGUUGGAUCAGGACACCCAAAUGGUGCAGCCGCUAUUAAUGGUUCGUUUGUUCAACGAUUAACAGUCCU
rnacentral:rRNA from 1 species